GAGGAUAUAGCUUAAUGGUAGAGCAUGUUCUUAGCAUGCACAAGGUCCUGGCUUCCAACCCCAGUACCUCU
rnacentral:tRNA from 1 species